rnacentral:rRNA from 1 species
UACAGAGGGGGCAAGCGUUAUUCGGAAUUAUUGGGCGUAAAGGGCGCGUAGGCGGCCUGGCAAGUGGAAGGUGAAAUCCCUCGGCUUAACCGAGGAACUGCCCUCCAAACUGCUUGGCUUGAGUCCGGGAGAGGUGAGUGGAAUUCCCAGUGUAGCGGUGAAAUGCGUAGAUAUUGGGAAGAACACCGGUGGCGAAGGCGGCUCUCUGGACCGACACUGACGCUGAGGCGCGAAAGCGUGGGGAGCAAACAGG